AGAUCAAAGAGGAAAGGAAAGGGAGGAAAAUAGACCCCUCCCAGAGGCUAACCACAUCCCGGGGAAGGACCUUUGUGGGCGUCACUCCAUUUGAACAGCGGAGGGUUCUCAUAACUGGAGCCUUGAGGAGAGUGAGAGAAUACAUUGCCUGGCGCUGCAGUCACCCAGAUGGAGACCUUCAUUCAGGCGGGCAGCAUCUGGCGAUCCUAUCUCUCCAGGAGACUCCAUCCACCGCUAAGGAUUCAAGGAGCUAUGAAUUCGAGGCCCUGAGAGUCACGAUCCCACUCAAGACUGUCACCCUCAUAAGUCUUAUCAAGAAGUAACUGAAGAUCACUGAAGUUGAUCAAGACCCAGCUAAUUACACCACCAGGACCACGGGUUGUGGUAAUCUUUGAGUAGGUGUUGAUUAUCUCCCAUUACUCUGAACACUAGAGGGAACACACAGUUCGGCCUUAGAAGCCCUCUGUCAGCUACACAGACUCUGUGGGCUCUGAGAAGCGAUCAAAGCCCCACAGGUUCCCCUGGAAGAUCCAACCUUUCCAAAUACCUGCUGCAUUGCCAGCUGCCGGGCCUGAAUCCACACAGGAUGAGUGGCAGUCACCCCUCCUCUCUGCUGUCUCUUGAGCUCCCUCCCCACAGCAAACCCUGAUUGAAGACCCUCCAUGCAUACUGGCUCUGAUUUUCACGUGUCUAGGGGGUAAGCAUUGCAAGUGUGUGGAGAUGCGCUGCCCAAAUCCUGCUGCCCCUUCAGGUUUACCACCAUCCCUGACACCUGCACCAGGACGGACUACCGCAGGGCCGUCAAGAGCAUGCGCAGUCUCUUGGGAUCCCUCUACAGCUCAAGGCUUCCACCAACCCAGCAGAAACACUCAGACGUUGUUCCAC
rnacentral:lncRNA from 1 species